UAAAGACAACACAGAACGUGUUACAUUUAUGGAUACAAAGUUCAAGAUUUAUACGCAGAAAAACUAACAAGUUCAUCAAAAAUAUGAACCGGCUCUUCAGGGAAUACCGGACUGACUUAAUGGUAGGACUGAAGGCAAAGUGUAAACAAGAGUUCAAGGUAUAAAAAUUACUAGUAGACUCAGAUGUAUAAAAGGAAAAACAUGGGCAAAGUCAAUGAGAUGGACUUCAGCAAUUUUCUU